UACGUAGGGUGCAAGCGUUAAUCGGAAUUACUGGGCGUAAAGCGUGCGCAGGCGGUUUUGUAAGUCAGAUGUGAAAUCCCCGGGCUUAACCUGGGAACUGCGUUUGAAACUACAAGGCUAGAGUGUGACAGAGGGGGGUGGAAUUCCACGUGUAGAAGUGAAAUGCGUAGAGAUGUGGAGGAACACCGAUGGCGAAGGCAGCCCCCUGGGUUAACACUGACGCUCAGGCACGAAAGCGUGGGGAGCAAACAGG
rnacentral:rRNA from 1 species